UUAAAGCAGCCUAAGUAAACG
rnacentral:piRNA from 1 species